UGAUGAACGCUGCCUCACAGGUGAGGAUGAGGAUGAUGAUGAUGUAGCAGUCACAGGAGCAGGUGAUGAACUUUUCCGCACAGGUGAGGAUGAGGAUGAUGUAGCAGUCACAGGGGCAGAUGAUGAAUGCUGCCUCACAGGUGAGGAUGAGGAUGAUGAUGAUGUAGCAGUCACAGGGGCAGGUGAUGAACGUUUCCUCACAGGUGAGGAUGAGGAUGAUGUAGCAGUCACAGGGGCAGGUGAUGAACGUUUCCUCACAGGUGAGGAUGAGGAUGAUGUAGCAGUCACAGGGGCAGGUGAUGAACGUUUCCUCACAGGUGAGGAUGAGGAUGAUGUAGCAGUCACAGGGGCAGAUGAUGAACGCUGCCUCACAGGUGAGGAUGAGGAUGAUGUAGCAGUAACAGGGGCAGGUGAUGAACUUUUCCUCACAGGUGAGGAUGAGAAUGAUGUAGCAGUAACAGGGGCAGGUGAUGAACUUUUCCUCACAGAUGAGGAUGAGAAUGAUGUAGCAGUAACAGGGGCAGGUGAUGAACUUUUCCUCACAGGUGAGGAUGAGGAUGAUGUAGCAGUAACAGGGGCAGGUGAUGAACGCUGCACAGAAGACCAAAGACACAAAAAAAAUACCACAGAUGUAAACAAAAAGUAAAUAUAAAUGCUUGCUUAAUUCAAAGUGCAUUGAUUUAGUUUAAGGGCAAGACAAAUGCAUUUGGAACAAAUAAUGUUUAAAACACAAAAGGGAGGAGAAAAUAAUGUAGAAUAAUCUUUUGAAACACUGAUAAUAAUUUUAAAUCUUUUAGUUACCAAACAACUAUACAAAGCUUUUGCAAAAAAAGCUUGAAAAGCUUGAAGAGUUCUAUGUACAGAACAUACAGAAAGACAGUCAGAUAUCAAUACGACAACAGAUUUGAGAAAUGAGAGUACCUUGGCUUGCCAAUCCCAGUCUCCAUAGCUGUAAGUAAUCUCUUCUCCUGGUUUAAUGUC
ensembl:lncRNA